rnacentral:rRNA from 1 species
GACGAACGCUGGCGGCGUGCCUAAUACAUGCAAGUUGAGCGCUGAAGGUUGGUACUUGUACCAACUGGAUGAGCAGCGAACGGGUGAGUAACGCGUGGGGAAUCUGCCUUUGAGCGGGGGACAACAUUUGGAAACGAAUGCUAAUACCGCAUAAAAACUUUAAACACAAGUUUUAAGUUUGAAAGAUGCAAUUGCAUCACUCAAAGAUGAUCCCGCGUUGUAUUAGCUAGUUGGUGAGGUAAAGGCUCACCAAGGCGAUGAUACAUAGCCGACCUGAGGGGGUGAUCGGCCACAUUGGGACUGAGACACGGCCCAAACUCCUACGGGAGGCAGCAGUAGGGAAUCUUCGGCAAUGGACGAAAGUCUGACCGAGCAACGCCGCGUGAGGGAAGAAGGUUUUCGGAUCGUAAAACUCUGUUGGUAGAGAAGAACGUUGGUGAGAGUGGAAAGCUCAUCAAGUGACGGUAACUACCCAGAAAGGGACAGCUAACUACGUG